AGACUAGAGUCACAUCCUGACAUGGUGCUUUGGUACUUUUCCUGGUGUUCCAAAGUUCGGGAGGAGGAUCUACAGAACUUGAUUCACUGGUGGAAGCCUUCAGUGCCCCUGUUAGUGCCCAGACCAGAAACAUGU